UGGGGUGGGGCUCAGCGGUAGAGCCCUCGCCUAGCAAGUGGGAGGCACUGGUUUCGACCCUCAGCACCACAU
rnacentral:tRNA from 1 species